rnacentral:rRNA from 1 species
UACGGGGGGAGAAAGCGUUGUUCGGAUUUACUGGGCGUAAAGGGCGCGUAGGCGGCCACCGCAAGUCAGUUGUGAAAUCUCUGGGCUUAACCCAGAACGGUCAGCUGAUACUGCGGGGCUAGAGUGCAGAAGGGGCAACUGGAAUUCUCGGUGUAGCGGUGAAAUGCGUAGAUAUCGAGAGGAACACCUGCGGCGAAGGCGGGUUGCUGGGCUGACACUGACGCUGACAGCGCGAAAGCUAGGGGAGCGAACGGG